AAAACGGCCCUUUUCAGGGCCAACGAAUGUUUCUUCGAAAAGAAU
rfam:Anopheles darlingi Cont6454, whole genome shotgun sequence.